UUGAAAUACCGGUUCCUGUAUGAUCACCGAAGUUAAGCACAGUCGAGAAGGGUCAUUACCCAGAUGGGUGUGCGCUUGGGAAUACCAUGUGCU